rnacentral:rRNA from 1 species
CUCCGUAGGUGAACCUGCGGAGGGAUCAUUACACAAAUAUGAAGGCGGGCUGGAACCUCUCGGGGUUACAGCCUUGCUGAAUUAUUCACCCUUGUCUUUUGCGUACUUCUUGUUUCCUUGGUGGGUUCGCCCACCACUAGGACAAACAUAAACCUUUUGUAAUUGCAAUCAGCGUCAGUAACAAAUUAAUAAUUACAACUUUCAACAACGGAUCUCUUGGUUCCGGCAUCGAUGAAGAACGCAGCGAAAUGCGAUAAGUAGUGUGAAUUGCAGAAUUCAGUGAAUCAUCGAAUCUUUGAACGCACAUUGCGCCCUUUGGUAUUCCAAAGGGCAUGCCUGUUCGAGCGUCAUUUGUACCCUCAAGCUUUGCUUGGUGUUGGGCGUCUUGUCUCUAGCUUUGCUGGAGACUCGCCUUAAAGUAAUUGGCAGCCGGCCUACUGGUUUCGGAGCGCAGCACAAGUCGCACUCUCUAUCAGCAAAGGUCUAGCAUCCAUUAAGCCUUUUUUUCAACUUUUGACCUCGGAUCAGGUAGGGAUACCCGCUGAACUUAAGCAUAUCA